rnacentral:rRNA from 1 species
AGUUAAUGACUAGUAUCCAUAUCUGUUAAGGAUAUGAGAAGGAAGACGCAGUGAACUGAAACAUCUAAGUAGCUGCAGGAAGAGAAAGCAAAAGCGAUUGCCUUAGUAGCGGCGAGCGAAACGGCAGGAGGGCAAACCGAAGUGUUUACACUUCGGGGGUGUAGGACUGCGAUAUAGGAUUAAUCAUUAUAGAAGAAUUACCUGGGAAGGUAAGCCAAAGAGAGUAACAGCCUCGUAUUUAAAAUGAUAGAUUAACCUUAGCAGUAUCCUGAGUACGGCGAGACACGCGAAAUCUCGUCGGAAUCUGGGAGGACCAU